rfam:Leptospira biflexa serovar Patoc strain &apos;Patoc 1 (Paris)&apos; chromosome I, complete sequence.
CCGCACCAGGGAUUGCAGUGGAAAUCCUUUUCACGUAGUGAAAAGAUUGGAACGGAAAGCCCGGUCGCUU